GGAUCAGGUAGGGAUACCCGCUGAACUUAAGCAUAUCAAUAAGGGGAAGGAA
rnacentral:rRNA from 1 species